rnacentral:rRNA from 1 species
UGGGGAAUAUUGGACAAUGGGCGAAAGCCUGAUCCAGCCAUGCCGCGUGAGUGAUGAAGGCCUUAGGGUUGUAAAGCUCUUUCGCACGCGAAGAUAAUGACGGUAACCGGAGAAGAAGCCCCGGCUAACUUCGUGCCAGCAGCCGCGGUAAUACGAAGGGGGCUAGCGUUGUUCGGCAUUACUGGGCGUAAAGCGCACGUAGGCGGAUCGAUCAGUUAGGGGUGAAAUCCCGGGGCUCAACCCCGGAACUGCCUCUAAUACUGUCGAUCUGGAGUUCGAGAGAGGUGAGUGGAAUUCCGAGUGUAGAGGUGAAAUUCGUAGAUAUUCGGAGGAACACCAGUGGCGAAGGCGGCUCACUGGCUCGAUACUGACGCUGAGGUGCGAAAGCGUGGGGAGCAAACA